rnacentral:lncRNA from 1 species
UUGAACUUCAGUUUGUGUCGUGUUUGAACUUGAGUUUGUGGUGUUUUUUGAACUUGAGGUUGUGGUGUUUUUGACUUGAGUUCGUGGCGUGUUUGAACUUGAGGUUGUUGCAAUUGUUAAACUUGAGAUUUGGGUGUUGGUUGAACUUAAAACUUUGCCAUUUGUUGAACUUGAGUUAGUGGUGUAUGUUGAACUCCAGCUUGUGUUGUGUUUGAACUUGAGGUCGUGGUAUUUUUGAAUUGAGUUUGUGGAGGUUUUUGAACUUGAGUUUGUGGCGUGUUUGAACUUGAGAUUGUGGCGUGUUUGAACUUGAGUUUGUGGUGGUUUUUGAACUUGAGGUUGUGAAAAUUGUUAAAACUUGAGAAUCAGGUGUUGGUUGAACUUGAGUUUGUGGUUUUUGUUGAACUUGAUUUUGUGCUUUGAUUGAACUUUAGUUUAUGUUUUUUUUUUGUACUUGAGUUUGUGUUGUUUUUGAACUUGAGGUUGUGGAAAUUGUAAAAACUUGAGAAUCAGGUGUUGGUUGAACUUGAGUUUGUGUGUUUUUUUAACUUGAGUUUGUUGUUUCUGAACUUGAGGUUUUGGCAAUUGUUGAACUUGAUAAUUGGGUAUUGGUUGAACUUGAGUUUGUGUGUUUGUUGAACUUGAGUUUGUGUCGUGUUUGAACUUCAGUUUGUGGUGUUUUUUGAACUUGAGUUUUUGGUGUCUUUGAACUUGAGGUUGUGGCAAUUGUUGAAUUUAAGUUUGUGACGUGUUUGAACUUGAUUUUGUGGUGUUUUUGAACUCGAGUUUGUUUUGUUUUUGAACUUGAGUUUGUGGUGUUUGUUGAACUUGAGUUUGUGUCGUGUUUGAACUUGAGGUUGUGGUGUUUUUGAACUCGAGUUUUUGUGUUUGUUGAACUUCAGUUUGUGUCGUGUUUGAACUUGAGUUUGUGGUGUUUUUUGAACUUGAGGUUGUGGUGUUUUUGAACUUGAGUUUGUGGCGGUUUUUGAACUUGAGGUUGUUGCAAUUGUUGAACUUGAAAUAAAAACCCAAAUAUGAACCCAAAUAUAUAUUUUUUCUUUUUACAUUUUUUUUGGUGUAACCAACUCCAAAAGGUCUUAAACAUGUUCCUAAAAAAAUUUUGGACAGUGAUUUUAAACCUAACGCCUAAAACCUUAAACCUUACCCUAGCCCCAUAACCUAAUACCCGGGUAUUAACUUCAGGAAGCCCAAAAACCCCAAAUAUUUUUUUUUCAUUGUUCGUUUUUUUUUUGGUCUAACUAACACCAAAAGGUUGGAAAGAGGUCCUACAAAGGUUUUGGACAGUGAUUUUAACACUCACGUCAAAAACCUUAAACCUUACUAUAGCCCCAUGACCUAAUACCCGGGUAUUACCUUCAGAAGCCCAAAAACCCCAAAUAUUUUUUUUUUAUUUUUCGUUAGUUUUUGCUCUAUCUAACUCCAAAAGGUUGGAAAAGAGUUCCUACAAAGGUUUUGGACAGUGAUUUUAACCCUAACGCCAAAAACCUUAAACCUUACCCUAGCCCCAUAACCUCAUACCCGGUUAUUUCCUUAAGGAAGCCCGAAGACCCCAAAUAUAUUUUUUUCAUUUUUUUUUUUUUGGUCUAACUUGCUCUCAAAGGUUGGAAAAGAGUUCCUACAAAGGUUUUGGACAUUGAUUUUAACCCUAACGCCAAAAAACUUAAAGCAUUACCCUAGCCCAGAAACCUAGUAUUACCUUCAGGAAGCCCGAACACCCAAAAAAAAUUCUUUUUCUUUUUACAUUUUUUUUGGUGUAACCAACUCCAAAAGGUCUGAAACAUGUUCCUAAAAAGGUUUUGGACAUUGAUUUUAACCCUAACACCAAAAAACCUUAAACCUUACCCGAGCCCCAUAACCUAAUACGGGUAUUUCCUUCAGGAAGCCCGAAGACCCCAAAUAUGUUUUUUUCUUUUUUCUUUUUUUUUGGUCUAACUAACUCCAAAAGGUUGGAAAAGAGUUCCUACAAAGGUUUUGGACAGUGAUUUUAACCCUAACACCAAAAACCUUAAACCUUACCCUAGCCCCAAAACCUAAUACCCGGGUAUUACCUUCAGGAAGCCCGAACACCCCAAAUAUAUUUUUUUUCAUUUCACAUUUUUUUUUGGUGUAACAAACUCCAAAAGGUCUUAAACAUGUUCCUAAAAAGGUUUUGGUCAGUGAUUUUAACCCUAACGCCAAAAACCUUUAACCUUACUAUAGCCCCAUAACCAAAUACCCGGGUAUUACCUUCAGGAAACCCGAACACCCCAAAUAUUUUUUUUCAUUUUUCGUUUUUUUUUGGUCUAACUAACUCCAAAAGGUUGGAAAAUAGUUCCUACAAAGGUUUUGGACAGUGAUUUUAACCCUAACGCCAAAAACCUUAAACCUUACUAUAGCCCCAUAACCUAAUACCCAGGUAUUACCUUCAGGAAGCUUGAACACCCCAAAUAUUUUUUUUUCAUUUUACAUUUUUUUUGGUGUAACCUACUCCAAAAGGUCUGAAACAUGUUCCUAAAAAGGUUUUGGACAUUGAUUUUAACCCUAACACCAAAAAACCUUAAACCUUACCCUAGCCCCAUAACCUAAUACCCGGGUAUUUCCUUCAGGAAGCCCGAAGACCCCAAAUAUAUUUUUUUCUUUUUUCUUUUUUUUUUGGUCUAACUAACUCCAAAAGGUUGGAAAAGAGUUCCUACAAAGGUUUUGGACAGUGAUUUUAACCCUAACACCAAAAACCUUAAACCUUACCCUAGCCCCAAAACCUAAUACCCGGGUAUUACCUUCAGGAAGCCCGAACACCCAAAAAAAAUUUUUUUUCAUUUUACAUUUUUUUUGGUGUAACCAACUCCAAAAGGUCUGAAACAUGUUCCUAAAAAGGUUUUGGACAGUGAUUUUAACCCUUACGCCAAAAACCUUAAACCUUACCCUAGCCCCAUAACCUAAUACCCGGGUAUUACCUUCAGGAAGCCCGAACACCCCAAAUAUUUUUUUUUCAUUUAUCUUUUUUUUGUCUAACUAAUUCCCAAAGGUUGGAAAAGAGUUCCUACAAAGGUUUUGGACAGUGAUUUUUACCCUCACGCCGAAAUACCUUAAACCUUACCCUAGCCCCAUAACCUAAUACCCGGGUAUUACCUUCAGGAAGCCCGAACACCCCAAAUAUAUAUUUUUUAUUUUUCUAUUUGUUUUGGUCUAACUUGCUCUCAAAGGUUGGAAAAGAGUUCCUACAAAGGAUUUGGACAUUGAUUUCAACCCUAACGCCAAAAAACUUAAACAUUACCCUAGCCCAGAAACCUAAUACCCGGGUAUUACCUUCAGGAAGCCCGAACACCCAAAAUAAAUUUUUUUUCAUUUUACAUUUUUUUUGGUGUAACCAACUCCAAAAGGUCUGAAACAUGUUCCUUAAAAGGUUUUGGACAGUGAUUUUAACCCUUACGCCAAAAACCUUAAACCUUACCCCAGCCCCAUAACCUAAUACCCGGGUAUUACCUUCAGGAAGCCCGAACACCCCAAAUAUUUUUUUUUCAUUUAUCUUUUUUUUUUUUGUCUAACUAACUCCAAAAGGUUGGAAAAUAGUUCCUACAAAGGUUUUGGACAGUGAUUUUAACCCUAACGCCAAAAACCUUAAACCUUACUAUAGCCCCAUAACCUAAUACCCGGGUAUUACCUUCAGGAAGCUUGAACACCCCAAAUAUUUUUUUUUCAUUUUACAUUUUUUUUUUGGUGUAACCUACUCCAAAAGGUCUGAAACAUGUUCCUAAAAAGGUUUUGGACAUUGAUUUUAACCCUAACGCCAAAAACCUUAAACCUUACCCUAGCCCCAUAACCUAAUACCUGGGUAUUUCCUUCAGGAAGCCCGAAGACCCCAAAUAUAUUUUUUUCUUUUUUCUUUUUUUGGUCUAACUAACUCCCAAAGGUCUGAAACAUGUUCCUUAAAAAAUAUUGGACAGUUAUUUUAACCCUAACGCCAAAAACCUUAAACCUAACCCUAGCCCCAAAACCUAAUUACCUUACCUUCAGGAAGCCCGAACACCCCAAAUAUUUUUUUUUCAUUUUACAUUUUUUUUUUGGUGUAACCAACUCUAAAAGGUCUUAAACAUGUUCCUAAAAAGGUUUUGGACACUGAUUUUAACUCUAACACCAAAAACCUUAAACCUUACCCUAGCCCCAUAACCUAAUACCCGGGUAUUACCUUCAGGAAACCCGAACACCCCAAAUAUAUAUUUUUUUCUUUUUUUUUUUUUUUGGUCUAACUAACUCCCAAAGGUCUGAAACAUGUUCCUUAAAAAAUAUUGGACAGUUAUUUUAACCCUAACGCCAAAAACCUUAAACCUAACCCUAGCCCCAAAACCUAAUACCCGGGUAUUACCUUCAGGAAGCCCGAACACCCCAAAUAUUUUUUUUUCAUUUAUCUUUUUUUUUUUGUCUAACUAACUCCAAAAGGUUGGAAAAUAGUUCCUACAAAGGUUUUGGACAGUGAUUUUAACCCUAUCGCCAAAAACCUUAAACCUUACUAAAGCCCCAUAACCUAAUACCCGGGAAUAACCUUCAGGAAGCUUGAACACCCCAAAUAUUUUUUUUUCAUUUUACAAUUUUUUUUGGUCUAACUAACUCCAAAAGGUCUGAAACAUGUUCCUAAAAAGGUUUUGGACAGUGAUUUUAACCCUUACGCCAAAAACCUUAAACCUUACCCUAGCCCCAUAACCUAAUACCCGGGUAUUACCUUCAGGAAACCCGAACACCCCAAAUAUUUUUUUUUUCUUUUUCUUUUUUUUUUGUCUAACUAACUCCCAAAGGUCUGAAACAUGUUCCUUAAAAAAAAUUGGACAGUUAUUUUAACCCUAACGCCAAAAACCUUAAACCUAACCCUAGCCCCAAAACCUAAUACUUCAGGAAGCUUGAACACCCCAAAUAUUUUUUUUUCAUUUUACAUUUUUUUGGGUGUUACCAAUUCCAAAAGGUCUGAAACAUGUUCCUAAAAAGGUUUUGGACAGUGAUUUUAGCCCGAACACCCCAAAUAUUUUUUUUCAUUUUUCAUUUUUUUUUGGUCUAACUAACUCCAAAAGGUUGGAAAAUAGUUCCUACAAAGGUUUUGGACAGUGAUUUUAACCCUAACGCCAAAAACCUUAAACCUUACUAUAGCCCCAUAACCUAAUACCCGGGUAUUACCUUCAGGAAGCUUGAACACCCCAAAUAUUUUUUUUUCAUUUUACAUUUUUUUUGGUGUUACCAACUCCAAAAGGUCUGAAACAUGUUCCUAAAAAGGUUUUGGACAGUGAUUUUAACCCUAACACCAAAAACCUUAAACCUUACCCUUGCCCCAUAACCUAUUACCUGGGUAUUUUCUUCAGGAAGCCCGAACACCCCAAAUAUAUAUUUUUUAUUAUUCUUUUUUUUUUUUUGGUCUAACUAACUCCAAAAGGUCGGAAAAACAUUCCUACAAAGGUUUUGGACAGUGAUUUUAACCCUAACGCCAAAAACCUUAAACCUUACACUAGCCCCAAAACCUAAUACCCGGGUAUUACCUUCAGGAAACCCGAACACCCCAAAUAUAUUUUUUUUCUUUUUCUUUUUUUUUUGUCUAACUAACUCCCAAAGGUCUGAAACAUGUUCCUUUAAAAAUAUUGGACAGUUAUUUUAACCCUAACGCCAAAAACCUUAAACCUAACCCUAGCCCCAAAACCUAAUACCCAGGUAUUACCUUCAGGAAGCCCGAACACCCCAAAUAUUUUUUUUUCAUUUAUCUUAUUUUUUUUGUCUAACUUAUUCCCAAAGGUUGGAAAAGAGUUCCUACAAAGGUUUUGGACAGUGAUUUUUACCCUCACGCCGAAAAACCUUAAACCUUACCCUAGCCCCAUAACCUAAUACCCGGGUAUUACCUUCAGGAAGCCCGAACACCCCAAAUAUACAUUUUUUAUUUUUCUUUUUGUUUUGGUCUAACUUGCUCUCAAAGGUUGGAAAAGAAAUCCUACAAAGGUUUUGGACAUUGAUUUUAACCCUAACGCCAAAAACCUAAAACAUUACCCUAGCCCAGAAACCUAGUAUUACCUUCAGGAAGCCCGAACACCCAAAAAAAAUUCUUUUUCAUUUUACAUUUUUUUUGGUGUAACCAACUCCAAAAGGUCUGAAACAUGUUCCUAAAAAGGUUUUGGACAGUGAUUUUAACCCUUACGCCAAAAACCUUAAACCCUUCCCUAGCCCCAUAACCUAAUACCUUGGUAUUACCUUCAGGAAGCCCGAACACCCCAAAUAUUUUUUUUCAUUUUUCGUUUUUUUUUGGUCUAACUAACUCCAAAAGGUUGGAAAAUAGUUCCUACAAAGGUUUUGGACAGUGAUUUUAACCCUAACGCCGAAAACCUUAAACCUUACUAUAGCCCCAUAACCUAAUACCCGGGUAUUACCUUCAGGAAGCUUGAACACCCCAAAUAUUUUUUUUUCAUUUUACAUUUUUUUUUGGUGUAACCUACUCCAAAAGGUCUGAAACAUGUUCCUAAAAAGGUUUUGGACAUUGAUUUUAACCCUAACGCCAAAAAACUUAAACCUUACCCUAGCCCCAUAACCUAAUACCUGGGUAUUUCCUUCAGGAAGCCCGAAGACCCCAAUAUAUUUUUUUCAUUUUUUUUUUUUUUGGUCUAACUAACUCCAAAAGGUUGGAAAAGAGUUCCUACAAAGGUUUUGGACAGUGAUUUUAACCCUAACACGAAAAACCUUAAACCUUACCCUAGCCCCAAAACCUAAUACCCGGGUAUUACCUUCAGGAAGCCCGAACACCCCACAUAUUUUUUUUUUCAUUUUACAUUUUUUUUUGGGUGUAACCAACUCCAAAAGGUCUUAAACAUGUUCCUUAAAAGGUUUUGGACACUGAUUUUAACUCUAACGCCAAAAACCUUAAACCUUACCCUAGCCCCAUAACCUAAUACCCGGGUAUUACCUUCAGGAAACCCGAACACCCCAAAUAUUUAGGGCCCGAGCCAGCUGCAGAGCAGCCGGGCGUAGGCCCUGUUAUUCCUGUAGGGGUUUUUAGGGCCCGAGCGUAGCUGCUAAGCAGCUGCGAGAGCCCUCUUGUUCCUGUAGUUUCCUUCUUUUGUUAUUAGGGCCCGAGCGUAGCUGCUAAGCAGCUGCGAGAGCCCUCUUGUUCCUGUAGUUUCCUUCUUUUGUUAUUAUUAUUAUUAUUUUUCCUCCCCUUUGAACUGGAAAAUGGCCCACUUCCCACUGGCGAAAACUCAUGAAAUUUGGCAGGACGACCGGGCCUGGUGAAAAAUUUGAUAUUCCGAAGUCGCCCAAACAAGAAAAUGCAAAAUGGCUCCAUAGCGCCCCCUAAGGGGAAAAUUCACACUAUUCACUGUCACGCCGGUACGCUUUGUCAAAAUGACACAAAAAUUGACACACACAUGUAUCUCAAUAAGAUCUACAAAAAAGUCAGUGCGGGCGUAUCUGUCAAAUGUACGGUUAAAGGGUUAUUUCGCAUUUUUUGCCGAUCCGCACACAUUGGAAUUUCGCUAACUCCUCCGAAGGCUUUCGUUCCACCGGCACCACAUUUGCUCAGGCCAAUCUACACCCCAUGGCCAUUAAAAGUUAUUCAAAUCAUGACGCUGCACCCCACGGUUUAGGUUCUAGGGGGCGCCAAAGAUAACCCUAAGAUCCACAUAUUUAAAAGUCUUAUAACUUUUUAUUUUUGCCCUCACUGGCCUCCAAGUUUUCUAGGAUGAUGCAAUGUCCAGCCAUCAACACAUUUGUGAAGGAAUUUUUACUCCCCAAAAGAGCGCCCCCCAUGGCAGGAGAAAAAAGUCCAUUUUUUCUUGUCCCCUAAGGUGAAAAUACACAUUGUUGAGUGUAACACCUGUACGCUUUGGCAAAAUGACACAAAAAUUGACACACACAUGUAUCUCAAUAAGAUCUACGAAAAAGUCAAUGCGCGCGUAUCUGUCAAAUGUACGGUUAAAGGGUUAUUCCGCAUUUUUUGCCGAUCCGCACACAUUGGAAUUUCGCUAACUCCUCCGAAGGCUUUCGUUCCACCGGCACCACAUUUGCUCAGGCCAAUCUACACCCCAUGGCCAUUAAAAGUUAUUCAAAUCAUGACGCUGCACCCCACGGUUUAGGUUCUAGGGGGAGCCAAAGAUAACCGUAAAAUCCACAUAUUUAAAAGUCUUAUAACUUUUUAUUUUUGUCCCCACUGGCCUCCAAGUUUUCUAGGAUGAUGCAAUGUCCAGCCAUCAACACAUUUGUGAAGGAAUUUUUACUCGGCAAAAGAGCGCCCCGCCAUGGCAGGAGAAAAAAGUCAAUUUUUUCUUGUCCACUAAGGUGAAAAUACACAUUGUUGAGUGCUACGCCUGUAUGUUUUGUCGUAUUGACAAAAAAUUUUACAUACACGUGUAUUUACAUAAGAUCUUCGAAAAAGUCAAUGGCCACGUAUCUGUAAAAUGUACGGUUAAAGGGUUAUUUCGCAUUUUUUGCAGAUUCGCACACAUUGGAAUUUCGCUAAUUCCUCCGAAGGCUUUCGUUCCACCGGCACCACAUUUGCUCAGGCCAAUCUACACCCCAUGGCCAUUAAAAGUUAUUCAAAUCAUGACGCUGCACCCCACGGUUUAGGUUCUAGGGCGCGCCAAAUAUAACCCUAAAAUCCACAUAUUUAAAAGUCUUAUAACUUUUUAUUUUUGUCCUCACUGGCCUCCAUGUUUUCUAGGAUGAUGCAAUGUCCAGCCAUCAACACAUUUGUGAAGGAGUUUUUCUCUUUAAAAGAGCGCCCCCCAUGGCAGGAGAAUAAAGUCAAGUUUUUCCUGUUCAUCAUUCAAUGGCUCAAACGCACUGCUCUCUCGGCAAAAGCGAAAGGAGGAGCAACUUGCCAUUUGGAUAUAUCUUAGCUGUGUUUGUGCCCUCACUCAUGGUCCAGACUUUUUCAAAUAGGACAUGGAGUUUUUCUGCAGCGAGCGUUUUGGUAGAAACUGCGCCUCCCGUUCAUUAUAAUGGUAAAUGACCACAAACAAGUGCGCACACCAUCUUUGGACCUUGAGUGUGACGCGAUCGGGUGGGGGAGGCGGUCGCGCUGGGGGCGGCGUGACACGGCUCGGGCCCGCCAGUGCCCCAACGGGGCCCUAGUUAUUAUUUUUCCUCCCCUUUGAACUUGAAAAUGGCCCACUUCCCACUGGCGAAAACUCAUGAAAUUUGGCAGGACGACCGGGCCUGGUGAAAAAUUUGAUAUUCCGAAGUCGCCCAAACAAGAAAAUGCAAAAUGGCUCCAUAGCGCCCCCUAAGGUGAAAAUUCACACUAUUCACUGUCACGCCUGUACGCUUUGUCAAAAUGACACAAAAAUUGACACACACAUGUAUCUCAGUAAGAUCUACAAAAAAGUCAGUGCGGGCGUAUCUGUCAAAUGUACGGUUAAAGGGUUAUUUCGCAUUUUUUGCCGAUCCGCACACAUUGGAAUUUCGCUAACUCCUCCGAAGGCUUUCGUUCCACCGGCACCACAUUUGCUCAGGCCAAUCUACACCCCAUGGCCAUUAAAAGUUAUUCAAAUCAUGACGCUGCACCCCACGGUUUAGGUUCUAGGGGGCGCCAAAAAUAACCCUAAAAUCCACAUAUUUAAAAGUCUUAUAACUUUUUAUUUUUGCCCUCACUGGCCUCCAAGUUUUCUAGGAUGAUGCAAUGUCCAGCCAUCAACACAUUUGUGAAGGAAUUUUUACUCCCCAAAAGAGCGCCCCCCAUGGCAGGAGAAAAAAGUCCAUUUUUUCUUGUCCCCUAAGGUGAAAAUACACAUUGUUGAGUGUAACACCUGUACGCUUUGGCAAAAUGACACAAAAAUUGACACACACAUGUAUCUCAAUAAGAUCUACGAAAAAGUCAAUGCGCGCGUAUCUGUCAAAUGUACGGUUAAAGGGUUAUUCCGCAUUUUUUGCCGAUCCGCACACAUUGGAAUUUCGCUAACUCCUCCGAAGGCUUUCGUUCCACCGGCACCACAUUUGCUCAGGCCAAUCUACACCCCAUGGCCAUUAAAAGUUAUUCAAAUCAUGACGCUGCACCCCACGGUUUAGGUUCUAGGGGGCGCCAAAAAUAACCCUAAAAUCCACAUAUUUAAAAGUCUUAUAACUUUUUAUUUUUGCCCUCACUGGCCUCCAAGUUUUCUAGGAUGAUGCAAUGUCCAGCCAUCAACACAUUUGUGAAGGAAUUUUUACUCCCCAAAAGAGCGCCCCCCAUGGCAGGAGAAAAAAGUCAAUUUUUUCUUGUCCCCUAAGGUGAAAAUACACAUUGUUGAGUGUAACACCUGUACGCUUUGGCAAAAUGACACAAAAAUUGACACACACAUGUGUCUCUAUAAGAUCUACGAAAAAGUCAAUGCGCGCGUAUCUGUCAAAUGUACGGUUAAAGGGUUAUUCUGCAUUUUUUGCCGAUCCGCACACAUUGGAAUUUCGCUAACUCCUCCGAAGGCUUUCGUUCCACCGGCACCACAUUUGCUCAGGCCAAUCUACACCCCAUGGCCAUUAAAAGUUAUUCAAAUCAUGACGCUGCAUCCCACGGUUUAGGUUCUAGGGGGCGCCAAAGAUAACCCUAAAAUCCACAUAUUUAAAAGUCUUAUAACUUUUUAUUUUUGUCCUCACUGGCCUCCAAGUUUUCUAGGAUGAUGCAAUGUCCAGCCAUCAACACAUUUGUGAAGGAAUUUUUACUCCCCAAAAGAGCGCCCCCCCAUGGCAGGAGAAAAAAGUCAAUUUUUUCUUGUCCCCUAAGGUGGAAAUUCACACUAUUGACUGUCACGCCUGUACGCUUUAUCAUAUUGACACAAAAAUUGACACACCUAUGUAUCUCAAUAAGAUCUACAAAAAAGUCAAUUCGCGCGUAUCUGUCAAAUGUACGGUUUAAGGGCUAUUUUGCAUUUUUUGCCGAUUCGCACACAUUGGAAUGUGGCUAACUCCUCCUAAGGCUUUCGUCCCUCUGACACCAAAUUUGCUCAGGCCAAUCUACACCCCAUGGCCAUUCAAAGUUGUAAAAAUCAUGACGCUGCACCCCACGGUUUACGUUCUAGGGGGCGCCAAAAAUGACCCAAAAAUCCACAUUCUUAAAAGAAUCCACAUCCCCCCUAUGGCAGGAGAAAAAGUCAAGUUUUUCCUGCCCAUCGCUCAAUGGCUCAAUCGCAUUGCUCUCCAGGCAACACCGUAAGGAGGAGCAACCUGGCAUUUCGAUAUAUCAUAGCUGUGUUUGUGCCCUCACUCAUGGUCCAGACUUUUUUCAAAUAGGACAUGAAGUUUGUCUGCAGCGAGUGUUUUGGUAGAAACUGCGCCUCCCAUUCAUUAUAAUGGGAAAUGACCACAGACAAGUGCGCACACCAUCUUUGGUUCUUGAGUGUGACUCGAUCGGGACGGGGAGGCGGUCGCACUGGGGGCGGCGCGACGCGGCUCGGGCCCGACAGUGCCCCACCGGGGCCCUAGUUCUUUGUUUCUUUCUUUCUUCUUUUUCCUCCCCUUUGAACUGGAAAAUGGCCCACUUCCCACUGGCGAAAACUCAGGAAAUUUGGCAGGACGACCGGGCCUGGUGAAAAAUUUGAUAUUCCGAAUUCGCCCAAACAAGAAAAUGCAAAAUGGCUCCAUAGCGCCCCCUAAGGUGAAAAUUCACACUAUUGACUGUCACGCCUGUACGCUUUGUCAAAAUGACACAAAAAUUGACACACACAUGUAUCUCAAUAAGAUCUACAAAAAAGUCAGUGCGGGCGUAUCUGUCUAAUGUACGGUUAAAGGGUUAUUUCGCAUUUUUUGCCGAUCCGCACACAUUGGAAUUUCGCUAACUCCUCCGAAGGCUUUCGUUCCACCGGCACCACAUUUGCUCAGGCCAAUCUACACCCCAUGGCCAUUAAAAGUUAUUCAAAUCAUGACGCUGCACCCCACGGUUUAGGUUCUAGGGGGCGCCAAAGAUAACCCUAAAAUCCACAUUUUUAAAUGUCUUAUAACUUUUUAUUUUUGCCCUCACUGGCCUCCAAGUUUUCUAGGAUGAUGCAAUGUCCAGCCAUCAACACAUUUGUGAAGGAAUUUUUACUCCCCAAAAGAGCGCCCCCCAUGGCAGGAGAAAAAAGUUCAUUUUUUCUUGUCCCAUAAGGUGAAAAUUCACACUAUUGACUGUCACGCCUGUACGCUUUGUCAAAAUGACACAAAAAUUGACACACACAUGUAUCUCAAUAAGAUCUACAAAAAAGUCAGUGCGGGCGUAUCUGUCUAAUGUACGGUUAAAGGGUUAUUUCGCAUUUUUUGCCGAUCCGCACACAUUGGAAUUUCGCUAACUCCUCCGAAGGCUUUCGUUCCACCGGCACCACAUUUGCUCAGGCCAAUCUACACCCCAUGGCCAUUAAAAGUUAUUCAAAUCAUGACGCUGCACCCCACGGUUUAGGUUCUAGGGGGCGCCAAAGAUAACCCUAAAAUCCACAUUCUUAAAUGUUUUAUAACUUUUUAUUUUUGCCCUCACUGGCCUCCAAGUUUUCUAGGAUGAUGCAAUGUCCAGCCAUCAACACAUUUGUGAAGGAAUUUUUACUCCCCAAAAGAGCGCCCCCCCAUGGCAGGAGAAAAAAGUUCAUUUUUUCUUGUCCCAUAAGGUGAAAAUUCACACUAUUGACUGUCACGCCUGUACGCUUUGUCAAAAUGACACAAAAAUUGACACACACAUGUAUCUCAAUAAGAUCUACAAAAAAGUCAAUGCGCGCGUAUCUGUCAAAUGUACGGUUAAAGGGUUAUUCCGCAUUUUUUGCCGAUUCGCACACAUUGGAAUUUCGCUAACUCCUCCGAAGGCUUUCGUUCCACCGGCACCAAAUUUGCUCAGGCCAAUCUACACCCCAUGGCCAUUAAAAGUUAUUCAAAUCUUGACGCUGCACCCCAUGGUUUACGUUCUAGGGGGCGCCAAAGAUAACCCAAAAAUCCACAUUUUUAAAAGUCUUAUAACUUUUUAUUUUUGUCCUCACUGGCCUCCAAGUUUUCUAGGAUGAUGCAAUGUCCAGCCAUCAACACAUUUGUGAAGGAAUUUUUACUCCCCAAAAGAGCGCCCCCCCAUGGCAGAAGAAAAAAGUCCAUUUUUUCUUGUCCCCUAAGGUGAAAAUACACAUUGUUGAGUGUCACGCCUAUACGCUUUGUCAAAAUGACACAAAAAUUGACACACACAUGUAACUCAAUAAGAUCUACGAAAAAGUCAAUGCGCGCGUAUCUGUCAAAUGUACGGUUAAAGGGUUAUUCCGCAUUUUUUGCCGAUCCGCACACAUUGGAAUGUGGCUAACUCCUCCUAAGGCUUUCGUUCCACCGGCACCACAUUUGCUCAGGCCAAUCUACACCCCAUGGCCAUUAAAAGUUAUUCAAAUCAUGACGCUGCACCCCACGGUUUAGGUUCUAGGGGGCGCCAAAAAUAACCCUAAAAUCCACAUAUUUAAAAGUCUUAUAACUUUUUAUUUUUGCCCUCACUGGCCUCCAAGUUUUCUAGGAUGAUGCAAUGUCCAGCCAUCAACACAUUUGUGAAGGAAUUUUUACUCCCCAAAAGAGCGCCCCCCCAUGGCAGGAGAAAAAAGUCCAUUUUUUCUUGUCCCCUAAGGUGAAAAUACACAUUGUUGAGUGUAACACCUGUACGCUUUGGCAAAAUGACACAAAAAUUGACACACACAUGUAUCUCAAUAAGAUCUACGAAAAAGUCAAUGCGCGCGUAUCUGUCAAAUGUACGGUUAAAGGGUUAUUCCGCAUUUUUUGCCGAUCCGCACACAUUGGAAUUUCGCUAACUCCUCCGAAGGCUUUCGUUCCACCGGCACCACAUUUGCUCAGGCCAAUCUACACCCCAUGGCCAUUAAAAGUUAUUCAAAUCAUGACGCUGCACCCCACGGUUUAGGUUCUAGGGGGCGCCAAAAAUAACCCUAAAAUCCACAUAUUUAAAAGUCUUAUAACUUUUUAUUUUUGCCCUCACUGGCCUCCAAGUUUUCUAGGAUGAUGCAAUGUCCAGCCAUCAACACAUUUGUGAAGGAAUUUUUACUCCCCAAAAGAGCGCCCCCCAUGGCAGGAGAAAAAAGUCAAUUUUUUCUUGUCCCCUAAGGUGAAAAUACACAUUGUUGAGUGUAACACCUGUACGCUUUGGCAAAAUGACACAAAAAUUGACACACACAUGUGUCUCUAUAAGAUCUACGAAAAAGUCAAUGCGCGCGUAUCUGUCAAAUGUACGGUUAAAGGGUUAUUCUGCAUUUUUUGCCGAUCCGCACACAUUGGAAUUUCGCUAACUCCUCCGAAGGCUUUCGUUCCACCGGCACCACAUUUGCUCAGGCCAAUCUACACCCCAUGGCCAUUAAAAGUUAUUCAAAUCAUGACGCUGCAUCCCACGGUUUAGGUUCUAGGGGGCGCCAAAGAUAACCCUAAAAUCCACAUAUUUAAAAGUCUUAUAACUUUUUAUUUUUGUCCUCACUGGCCUCCAAGUUUUCUAGGAUGAUGCAAUGUCCAGCCAUCAACACAUUUGUGAAGGAAUUUUUACUCCCCAAAAGAGCGCCCCCCCAUGGCAGGAGAAAAAAGUCAAUUUUUUCUUGUCCCCUAAGGUGGAAAUUCACACUAUUGACUGUCACGCCUGUACGCUUUAUCAUAUUGACACAAAAAUUGACACACCUAUGUAUCUCAAUAAGAUCUACAAAAAAGUCAAUUCGCGCGUAUCUGUCAAAUGUACGGUUUAAGGGCUAUUUUGCAUUUUUUGCCGAUUCGCACACAUUGGAAUGUGGCUAACUCCUCCUAAGGCUUUCGUCCCUCUGACACCAAAUUUGCUCAGGCCAAUCUACACCCCAUGGCCAUUCAAAGUUGUAAAAAUCAUGACGCUGCACCCCACGGUUUACGUUCUAGGGGGCGCCAAAAAUGACCCAAAAAUCCACAUUCUUAAAAGAAUCCACAUCCCCCCUAUGGCAGGAGAAAAAGUCAAGUUUUUCCUGCCCAUCGCUCAAUGGCUCAAUCGCAUUGCUCUCCAGGCAACACCGUAAGGAGGAGCAACCUGGCAUUUCGAUAUAUCAUAGCUGUGUUUGUGCCCUCACUCAUGGUCCAGACUUUUUUCAAAUAGGACAUGAAGUUUGUCUGCAGCGAGUGUUUUGGUAGAAACUGCGCCUCCCAUUCAUUAUAAUGGGAAAUGACCACAGACAAGUGCGCACACCAUCUUUGGUUCUUGAGUGUGACUCGAUCGGGACGGGGAGGCGGUCGCACUGGGGGCGGCGCGACGCGGCUCGGGCCCGACAGUGCCCCACCGGGGCCCUAGUUCUUUGUUUCUUUCUUUCUUCUUUUUCCUCCCCUUUGAACUGGAAAAUGGCCCACUUCCCACUGGCGAAAACUCAGGAAAUUUGGCAGGACGACCGGGCCUGGUGAAAAAUUUGAUAUUCCGAAUUCGCCCAAACAAGAAAAUGCAAAAUGGCUCCAUAGCGCCCCCUAAGGUGAAAAUUCACACUAUUGACUGUCACGCCUGUACGCUUUGUCAAAAUGACACAAAAAUUGACACACACAUGUAUCUCAAUAAGAUCUACAAAAAAGUCAGUGCGGGCGUAUCUGUCUAAUGUACGGUUAAAGGGUUAUUUCGCAUUUUUUGCCGAUCCGCACACAUUGGAAUUUCGCUAACUCCUCCGAAGGCUUUCGUUCCACCGGCACCACAUUUGCUCAGGCCAAUCUACACCCCAUGGCCAUUAAAAGUUAUUCAAAUCAUGACGCUGCACCCCACGGUUUAGGUUCUAGGGGGCGCCAAAGAUAACCCUAAAAUCCACAUUUUUAAAUGUCUUAUAACUUUUUAUUUUUGCCCUCACUGGCCUCCAAGUUUUCUAGGAUGAUGCAAUGUCCAGCCAUCAACACAUUUGUGAAGGAAUUUUUACUCCCCAAAAGAGCGCCCCCCAUGGCAGGAGAAAAAAGUUCAUUUUUUCUUGUCCCAUAAGGUGAAAAUUCACACUAUUGACUGUCACGCCUGUACGCUUUGUCAAAAUGACACAAAAAUUGACACACACAUGUAUCUCAAUAAGAUCUACAAAAAAGUCAGUGCGGGCGUAUCUGUCUAAUGUACGGUUAAAGGGUUAUUUCGCAUUUUUUGCCGAUCCGCACACAUUGGAAUUUCGCUAACUCCUCCGAAGGCUUUCGUUCCACCGGCACCACAUUUGCUCAGGCCAAUCUACACCCCAUGGCCAUUAAAAGUUAUUCAAAUCAUGACGCUGCACCCCACGGUUUAGGUUCUAGGGGGCGCCAAAGAUAACCCUAAAAUCCACAUUCUUAAAUGUUUUAUAACUUUUUAUUUUUGCCCUCACUGGCCUCCAAGUUUUCUAGGAUGAUGCAAUGUCCAGCCAUCAACACAUUUGUGAAGGAAUUUUUACUCCCCAAAAGAGCGCCCCCCAUGGCAGGAGAAAAAAGUUCAUUUUUUCUUGUCCCAUAAGGUGAAAAUUCACACUAUUGACUGUCACGCCUGUACGCUUUGUCAAAAUGACACAAAAAUUGACACACACAUGUAUCUCAAUAAGAUCUACAAAAAAGUCAAUGCGCGCGUAUCUGUCAAAUGUACGGUUAAAGGGUUAUUCCGCAUUUUUUGCCGAUUCGCACACAUUGGAAUUUCGCUAACUCCUCCGAAGGCUUUCGUUCCACCGGCACCAAAUUUGCUCAGGCCAAUCUACACCCCAUGGCCAUUAAAAGUUAUUCAAAUCUUGACGCUGCACCCCAUGGUUUACGUUCUAGGGGGCGCCAAAGAUAACCCAAAAAUCCACAUUUUUAAAUGUCUUAUAACUUUUUAUUUUUGCCCUCACUGGCCUCCAAGUUUUCUAGGAUGAUGCAAUGUCCAGCCAUCAACACAUUUGUGAAGGAAUUUUUACUCCCCAAAAGAGCGCCCCCCCAUGGCAGGAGAAAAAAGUUCAUUUUUUCUUGUCCCAUAAGGUGAAAAUUCACACUAUUGACUGUCACGCCUGUACGCUUUGUCAAAAUGACACAAAAAUUGACACACACAUGUAUCUCAAUAAGAUCUACAAAAAAGUCAGUGCGGGCGUAUCUGUCUAAUGUACGGUUAAAGGGUUAUUUCGCAUUUUUUGCCGAUCCGCACACAUUGGAAUUUCGCUAACUCCUCCGAAGGCUUUCGUUCCACCGGCACCACAUUUGCUCAGGCCAAUCUACACCCCAUGGCCAUUAAAAGUUAUUCAAAUCAUGACGCUGCACCCCACGGUUUAGGUUCUAGGGGGCGCCAAAGAUAACCCUAAAAUCCACAUUCUUAAAUGUUUUAUAACUUUUUAUUUUUGCCCUCACUGGCCUCCAAGUUUUCUAGGAUGAUGCAAUGUCCAGCCAUCAACACAUUUGUGAAGGAAUUUUUACUCCCCAAAAGAGCGCCCCCCCAUGGCAGGAGAAAAAAGUUCAUUUUUUCUUGUCCCAUAAGGUGAAAAUUCACACUAUUGACUGUCACGCCUGUACGCUUUGUCAAAAUGACACAAAAAUUGACACACACAUGUAUCUCAAUAAGAUCUACAAAAAAGUCAAUGCGCGCGUAUCUGUCAAAUGUACGGUUAAAGGGUUAUUCCGCAUUUUUUGCCGAUUCGCACACAUUGGAAUUUCGCUAACUCCUCCGAAGGCUUUCGUUCCACCGGCACCAAAUUUGCUCAGGCCAAUCUACACCCCAUGGCCAUUAAAAGUUAUUCAAAUCUUGACGCUGCACCCCAUGGUUUACGUUCUAGGGGGCGCCAAAGAUAACCCAAAAAUCCACAUUUUUAAAAGUCUUAUAACUUUUUAUUUUUGUCCUCACUGGCCUCCAAGUUUUCUAGGAUGAUGCAAUGUCCAGCCAUCAACACAUUUGUGAAGGAAUUUUUACUCCCCAAAAGAGCGCCCCCCAUGGCAGAAGAAAAAAGUCCAUUUUUUCUUGUCCCCUAAGGUGAAAAUACACAUUGUUGAGUGUCACGCCUAUACGCUUUGUCAAAAUGACACAAAAAUUGACACACACAUGUAACUCAAUAAGAUCUACGAAAAAGUCAAUGCGCGCGUAUCUGUCAAAUGUACGGUUAAAGGGUUAUUCCGCAUUUUUUGCCGAUCCGCACACAUUGGAAUGUGGCUAACUCCUCCUAAGGCUUUCGUUCCACCAGCACCACAUUUGCUCAGGCCAAUCUACACCCCAUGGCCAUUAAAAGUUAUUCAAAUCAUGACGCUGCACCCCACGGUUUAGGUUCUAGGGGGCGCCAAAUAUAACCUUAAAAUCCACAUAUUUAAAAGUCUUAUAACUUUUUAUUUUUGUCCUCACUGGCCUCCAAGUUUUCUAGGAUGAUGCAAUGUCCAGCCAUCAACACAUUUGUGAAGGAAUUUUUACUCCCCAAAAGAGCGCCCCCCCAUGGCAGGAGAAAAAAGUCCAUUUUUUCUUGUCCCCUAAGGUGAAAAUACAUAUUGUUGAGAUUCACGCCUAUACGCUUUGUCAUAUUGACACAAAAUUUGACAAUCACGUGCCUUGCCUGGUAUCAUUUUUUUCAGCACAACCUCACCUGUGCGAAUUUACAGUUAUUUUAUCAUGUUGACAUACUGAAUUUACACAAUGGACCCAAAUUCACACACAAAACAUAAAAUCCGAGUGGAAAAAAGUAAAAUUUUUACUGUGAAAACCACAAAUAUGUGUGAUGAACUGUUUUUAAAACUUAAACUUCAAAUAAAAAUUGUAAACUUCAAAACAUAUGCAAAUUUUUAACAAAGAACAUAGUGAUUUACCUCUAUUUACAUCAAAAUGCAGGCAAUGGCCCAGGCGUUCUUUGUAAAAUUAUUUACAAAACACUGUAUAGUCUCACAAAUGUCACUUUUUAUUUAUGCCACUACAAAAAACAUGAUGUAAAUGAUGCAUGAUGUAAAACAUGAUGUAAAAAACUUGUGUAGAUCCUCCUCUAUGUCAGUCCAUGUGUAAUUUUUCCAUAAUUCUUUGUUUUUUGCAGCAUUUUUGUUAGUGUAACUGCAGAUUGUGCUGACAGUGUCUAUGGCACAAAAAAAAAAAAAAAAUUAAAAUGCCUUAACAUGAACCCCUGGUGGUCUCUGAGGGUGAAACCUGCUAACUGCUGCAGCUCUGUCAGCUUCAGUCUCCCAUGCAGAGCUCUGAGCGCAUGUGUGGCUCUGCACCCUUAGCAGCGUUGCUAACUCCUCAGUAAGGAAAGCCUGCUUCAUGUCAGAGUCUCUAAACUCCAGAAGAAGUCGAUAAAAGUCCCUUUCUUUCUAAAAAAAAGUCGUUAGGGGGUCUGAAAAGUCAUUGAAUCUAACAACAAAGUCGCUAGGUUUGCAACUACGUGUCCCAGACUGCAUCCCUGCUGAGAGUCCCUCCCUCGCUUCUCAUGUUGCAGGAAGAACGUAAGCGCCCUCCCCUUGUCAAUCAGUCACCAUAUAAUUUUGGAUUGGUUGUUGUGGUGAAGUUUUCCACCAAUAGGAGAGAUGUUGUGGUGUGUUUUUUUUUUUCUUUUGGCAAGCCUUUUCCGCCUGUAAGACCUGUCGCUAAUGUCUGCAUGCUAUGUUUUCCUGUCUCAUACAGCGCGAUCGAGCGCCGAACGUGAUCAAAAUAAGCAGAAAAAAAGUAUCGCGGACAUAAUUUAUCAUAACUCUGGUUUUAUUUGGCCUAUCAACACAAUUUAAAAACUGGUAUAUAGGUUGAGGUCCUCACUUUUUAGAUUAGUUGAAACGGAUGCUGCGUCCGAACUGCCCGCUCGGAUACUACAUGCUACUGCUACGUGCUACUGCUAGAUCCUACACCUACAUACUAAAAACGUUGGCCCUAUUCGGACACACUACACGAGCGGUGGGGAAAGACGACCCCCGCAGGCAGAGAGUAGGUACUGCGCCCGUGCAGACAGUGGUAACUGAAGCCCCUCAUCUGCGGGCCUGGCUGUAGUACUGCAGCUGUGCAGUUUCAUGAUGGAAUAAGUGAGCUUUACCUCCAUGAUGUCGCCACUUGCUCAUAAAAUGAUUACUUGGGCAAAUAUGACACCAUGACAUGACAAAGAAAUACAACCGCACAUUUUUUAGGACAGUGUGUGAAGUUACAUGAAACUUACAUCUGUACUGCUGCGGUCCCGCCUGCUGCUGCUGCUGCUCCGACAUGGUGCGCGCUGCUGUGGCCAGCCGGCGUUCGCGACGCACCUAAAUAGGCAGCAGAUGGUGGCGCUAGCAUCACAUGCGCUUCUACAACUUUUAAGAGGACGAAGAAGAAGCCCGCGGUGCAUUUUGGGUCAGUAACAUGCCCGUAGGAUGCACCGAGACCAACCUACAAUGUGGGCGUGUCUAGCAUCUGAAGUAGUAUCUGAAGUAGCAUGCUACUCGCUCCGGUGGCCAAUUCGGACAUGCUAGAUACUACUUCGACUACUACUUCGACUACUACUUGGCAAUUCGGACGCAGCUGGAGAGUCAACGAGGCUCCGUCUUGCAGCUACAUCCGGUUAAAUAUGUCAUGUGACUUGAACGCUGGGGAGCGUCAAUCGACUGCAGAGCCAGCAGACAAAGUAGUUAUGGCCACUGAGAGGCACACAUUUGUCAUAUGCUAUAAUCCUAACAUAUUUGAAUGCUUUUUCUAUUUAAACCUAAUGGAUCUAAGGUUUGACCUUCAAAAUUUAGGAAGAAUAUGUUUUUGCAGUAAUUACCCCCUUAAACAACCAGAGGUCCUUUCCUAAAGUUUAUGGAAAUUUUAGUGAAGGCCUUGGUUUCUUUCCUUGCAAAAUGUAUAGAAAUAAUAAAGCUAAAUACCAUAAAAUGGUCUUGGUGUAUUAGCAGUGAUAUAAAAUAGUGGUUUGAAUAUGAAUGAACAACAAAAAAAACAUCAACAGAGCCUUUUUGAGUUGGGAUUCUUACACAAAAACAGACAUAGAUAGACAUCUGAAGGGUAAGGGAAUGAUCAGCCCUCCUAACUCUCAGAUGAAUCUUCAAAAUUCACCUCAGAAAUAUGCUCAUUAUUCUUCUCAGAGUACUACAAGAUAUACACACACACACACAGACACAACACACACACACACACACACACACACACACACACACACACACACACACACACACACACACACACUCAGAGUCUGUUUUUUAGCACCUGCAAAAACAUGCUAUUUACAUAUUUGACAAGAAUGCAGAGGCUCCUUUUGCCCCUGAAAAAAAUCUAAUUUCAAACACAACUUGACUGCUCAUUUCUCCAAAACACAACCAUGAAGCCCUAUGCAAACCUGAAGCAGGCAGUUGGUGCAUGUGUACAGUAACCUGAGGGGAGUGAGGUGACUGCUUCUGAGGAGAACAUGAGCAGUGAAGCUUCACCUUAGAGCCAGAACAGGGACGUGCACAUAAUUAUACAGGGGCAGGGGCUCAAGUCUUUUCCAGUCAUUUAUACAAUAUGGAAAUUAAUGUGAAAUUAAAAAACAAAGUAUUAAUAGAAAGGUAAUGACUGUCCUGUGUAGAUGACAGUGAUAUCCAAUAGGCUAGGCACUCACGAGGCUGGCUGUGGCAAGUGUAAGUGAAAGCAACACGCACUGGCAGGAAGAACAGCAAACGCCGAUGAAGGAAAAGGGUCUUUGCAGUGAUAGGCGUUACCAGAGAGGGCGAUGGCCAGAGGACGCGAAUGGGACGGGGAGGCAGCGCGUUGGGGGGGGCCGCGCGACACGGCUCGGGCCCGCCAGUGCCCCAACGGGGCCCUAGUUCUUUGUUUCUUUCUUUCUUCUUUUUCCUCCCCUUUGAACUGGAAAAUGGCCCACUUCCCACUGGCGAAAACUCAGGAAAUUUGGCAGGACGACCGGGCCUGGUGAAAAAUUUGAUAUUCCGAAGUCGCCGAAACAAGAAAAUGCAAAAUGGCUCCAUAGCGCCCCCUAAGGUGAAAAUUCACACUAUUGACUGUCACGCCUGUACGCUUUGUCAAAAUGACACAAAAAUUGACACACACAUGUAUCUCAAUAAGAUCUACAAAAAAGUCAGUGCAGGCGUAUCUGUCAAAUGUACGGUUAAAGGGUUAUUUCGCAUUUUUUGCCGAUCCGCACACAUUGGAAUUUCGCUAACUCCUCCGAAGGCUUUCGUUCCACCGGCACCACAUUUGCUCAGGCCAAUCUACACCCCAUGGCCAUUAAAAGUUAUUCAAAUCAUGACGCUGCACCCCACGGUUUAGGUUCUAGGGGGCGCCAAAGAUAACCCUAAAAUCCACAUUUUUAAAAGUCUUAUAACUUUUUAUUUUUGCCCUCACUGGCCUCCAAGUUUUCUAGGAUGAUGCAAUGUCCAGCCAUCAACACAUUUGUGAAGGAAUUUUUACUCCUCAAAAGAGCGCCCCCCCAUGGCAGGAGAAAAAAGUCCAUUUUUUUCUUGUCCCCUAAGGUGAAAAUACACACUAUUGACUGUCACGCCUGUACGCUUUGUCAAAAUGACACAAAAAUUGACACACACAUGUAUCUCAAUAAGAUCUACAAAAAAGUCAGUGCGGGCGUAUCUGUCAAAUGUACGGUUAAAGGGUUAUUUCGCAUUUUUUGCCGAUCCGCACACAUUGGAAUUUCGCUAACUCCUCCGAAGGCUUUCGUUCCACCGGCACCACAUUUGCUCAGGCCAAUCUACACCCCAUGGCCAUUAAAAGUUAUUCAAAUCAUGACGCUGCACCCCACGGUUUAGGUUCUAGGGGGCGCCAAAGAUAACCCUAAAAUCCACAUUUUUAAAAGUCUUAUAACUUUUUAUUUUUGCCCUCACUGGCCUCCAAGUUUUCUAGGAUGAUGCAAUGUCCAGCCAUCAACACAUUUGUGAAGGAAUUUUUACUCCCCAAAAGAGCGCCCCCCCAUGGCAGGAGAAAAAAGUCCAUUUUUUCUUGUCCCCUAAGGUGAAAAUACACAUUGUUGAGUGUUACGCCUGUACGCUUUGGCAAAAUGACACAAAAAUUGACACACACAUGUAUCUCAAUACGAUCUACAAAAAAGUCCAUGCGCGCGUAUCUGUCUAAUGUACGGUUAAAGGGUUAUUCCGCAUUUUUUGCCGAUUCGCACACAUUGGAAUUUCGCUAACUCCUCCGAAGGCUUUCGUUCCACCGGCACCACAUUUGCUCAGGCCAAAUUACACCCCAUGGCCAUUAAAAGUUAUUCAAAUCAUGACGCUGCACCCCACGGUUUACGUUCUAGGGGGCGCCAAAGAUAACCCAAAAAUCCACAUUUUUAAAAGUCUUUUAACUUUUUAUUUUUGUCCUCACUGGCCUCCAAGUUUUCUAGGAUGAUGCAAUGUCCAGCCAUCAACACAUUUGUGAAGGAAUUUUUACUCCCUAAAAGAGCGCCCCCCAUGGCAGGAGAAAAAAGUCCAUUUUUUCUUGUCCCCUAAGGUGAAAAUACACAUUGUUGACUGUCACGCCUGUACGCUUUGGCAAAAUGACACAAAAAUUGACAAUCAUGUGUAUCUCAAUUAGAUCUACGAAAAAGUCAAAGAGCGCGUAUCUGUAUAAUGUACGGUAAAAGGGCUAUUUUGCAUUUUUUGCCAAUUCGCACACAUUGGAAUUUCGCUAACUCCUCCUAAGGCCUUCGUCCCACUGACACCAAAUUUGCUCAGGCCAAUCUACACUCCAUGGCCAUUCAAAGUUGUAAAAAUCAUGACGCUGCACCCCACGGUUUACGUUUUAGGGGGCGCCAAAGAUGACCCAAAUAUACAUUACAGUAGACAAAGUAGUUUUGCCCACUGAGUGGCGCCAAAGGGACUUGUCUGUGGAGUCUGUGAGUCACUAUUGGCCGUUUUUGACUACUUUAGAUUUUACCUUUAUAUUUCCUCUUACAAAAUUUUUACCUUGCCUUGCCUGGUAUCAUUUUUUUCAGCACAACCUCACCUGUGUCAAUUUACAGUUAUUUUAUCAUUUUGACAUACUAUAUUUACACAUUGGACCCAAAUUCACACACAAAACAUAAAAUCCGAGUGGAAAAAAGUAACGUUUUUACUGUGAAAACCACAAAUAUGUGUGAUGAACUGUUUUUAAAACUUAAACUUCAAAUAAAAAUUGUAAACUUCAAAACAUAUGCAAAUUUUUAACAAAGAACAUAGUAAUUUACCUCUAUUGACAUCAAAAUGCAGGCAAUGGCCCAGGUGUUCUUUGUAAAAUUAUUUACAAAACACUGUAUAGUCUCACAAAUGUCACUUUUUAUUUAUGCCACUACAAAAAAACAUGAUGUAAAUGAUGCAUGAUGUAAAACAUGAUGUAAAAAACUUGUGUAGAUCCUCCUCUAUGUUAGUCCAUGUGUAAUUUUUCCAUAAUUCUUUGUUUUUUGCAGCAUUUUUGUUAGUGUAACUGCAGAUUGUGCUGACAGUGUCUAUGGCAAAAAAAAAAAAAAAAAAAACUGAAAAUGCCUCAACAUGAACCCCUGGUGGUCUCUGAGGGUGAAACCUGCUAACUGCUGCAGCUCUGUCAGCUUCAGUCUCCCAUGCAGAGCUCGGAGCGCAUGUGUGGCUCUGCACCCUUAGCAGUGUUGCUAACUCCUCAGUAAGGAAAGCCUGCUUCAUGUCAGAGUCUCUAAACUCCAGAAGAAGUCGAUAAAAGUCACUUUCUUUCUAAAAAAAAGUCGCUAGGGGGUCUGAAAAGUCAUUGAAUCUAACAACAAAGUCGCUAGGUUUGCAACUACGUGUCCCAGACUGCAUCCCUGCUGAGAGUCCCUCCCUCCCUUCUCAUAUUGCAGGAAGAACGUAAGUUCCCGCCCCUUGUCAAUCAGUCACCAUAUAAUUUUGGAUUGGUUGUUGUGGUGAAGUUUUCCACCAAUAGGAGAGAUGUUGUGGUGUGUUUUUUUUUCCUUUGGCAAGCCUUUUCCGCCUGUAAGACCUGUCGCUAAUGUCUGCAUGCUAUGUUUUCCUGUCUCAUACAGCGCGAUCGAGCGCCGAACGUGAUCAAAAUAAGCAGAAAACAAGUAUCGCGGACAUAAUUUAUCAUAACUCUGGUUUUAUUUGGCCUAUCAACACAAUUUAAAAACUGGUAUAUAGGUUGAGGUCCUCACUUUUGAGAUAAGUUGAAACGGAGAGUCAACGAGGCUCCGUCUUGCAGCUACAUCCGGUUAAAUAUGUCAUGUGACUUGAACGCACACACACACACACACACACACACACACACACAGACACACACACACACGCACACACACACACUCAGAGUCUGGUUUUUAGCACCUGCAAAAACAUGCUAUUUACAUAUUUGACAAGAAUGCAGAGGCUCCUUUUGCCCCUGAAAAAAAUCAAAUUUCAAACACAACUUGACUGGUCAUUUCUCCAAAAGACAACCAUGAAGCUCCAUCCAAACCUGAAGCAGGCAGUUGGUGCAUGUGUACAGUAACCUGAGGGGAGUGAGGUGACUGCUUCUGAGGAGAACAUGAGCAGUGAAGAUUCACCUUAGAGCUAAAACAGAGACGUGCACAUGAUUAUACAGGGGCAGGGGCUCAAGUUUUUUCCAGUUGUUUAUACAAUAUGGAAAUUAAUGUGAAAUUAAAAAACAAAGUAUUAAUAGAAAGGUAAUGACUGUCCUGUGUAGGUGACAGUGAUAUCCAAUAGGCUAGGCACUCACGAGGCUGGCUGUGGCAAGUGUAAGUGAAAGCAACACGCACUGGCAGGAAGAACAGCAAACGCAGAUGAAGGAAAAGGGUCUUUGCAGUGAUGGGCGUUACCAGAGAGGGCGACGGCCAGAGGACGCGAAUGGGACGGGGAGGCAGCGCGUUGGGGGGGGGACGCGACACAGCUCGGGCCCGCCAGUGCCCCAACGGGGUCCUAGUUUUUUUUUCUUUUUCUUUUUUUUUUGUCUAACUAACUCCCAAAGGUCUGAAACAUGUUCCUUAAAAAAUAUUGGACAGUUAUUUUAACCCUAACGCCAAAAACCUUAAACCUAACCCUAGCCCCAAAACCUAAUACCCGGGUAUUUCCUUCAGGAAGCCCGAACACCCCAAAUAUUUUUUUUUCAUUUAUCUUUUUUUUUUUUGUCUAACUAAUUCCCAAAGGUUGGAAAAUAGUUCCUACAAAGGUUUUGGACAGUGAUUUUAACCCUAACGCCAAAAACCUUAAACCUAACCCUAGCCCCAAAACCUAAUACCCGGGUAUUACCUUCAGGAAGCCCGAACACCCCAAAUAUAUAUUUUUUAUUUUUCUUUUUUUUUUUGGUCUAACUUGCUCUCAAAGGUUGGAAAAGAGUUCCUACAAAGGUUUUGGACAUUGAUUUUAACCCUAACACCAAAAACCUUAAACAUUACCCUAGCCAGGAAACCUAGUAUUACCUUCAAGAAGCCCGAACACCCAAAAAAAAUUGUUUUUCAUUUUACAUUUUUUUUGGUGUAACCAACUCCAAAAUGUCUGAAACAUGUUCCUAAAAAGGUUUUGGACAGUGAUUUUAACCCUUACGCCAAAAACCUUAAUCCUUACCCUAGCCCCAUAACCUAAUACCCGGGUAUUACCUUCAGGAAGCCCGAACACCCCAAAUAUUUUUUUUUCAUUUAUCUUUUUUUUUUUUGUCUAACUAACUCCAAAAGGUUGGAAAAGACUUCCUUCAAAAGACUUACUCCAAAAGGUUGGAAAAGACUUCCUACAAAGGUAAUACAAAGUAUUACCUUCAGGAAGCCCGAACACCCCAAAUAUUUUUUUUUAAUUUUACAUUUUUUUUUGGUGUUACCAACUGUAAAAGGUCUUAAACAUGUUCCUAAAAAGGUUUUGGACAGUGAUUUUAACCCUUACGCCAAAAACCUUAAACCUUACCCUAGCCCCAUAACCUAAUACCGGGGUAUUACCUUCAGGAAACCCGAACACCCCAAAUAUUUUUUUUUUCUUUUUCUUUUUUUUUUGUCUAACUAACUCCCAAAGGUCUGAAACAUGUUCCUGAAAAAAUAUUGGACAGUGAUUUUAACCCUAACGCCAAAAACCUUAAACCUAACCCUAGCCCCAAAACCUAAUACCCGGGUAUUUCCUUCAGGAAGCCCGAACACCCCAAAUAUUUUUUUUUCAUUUAUCUUUUUUUUUGUCUAACUAAUUCCCAAAGGUUGGAAAAGAGUUCCUACAAAGGUUUUGGACAGUGAUUUUAACCCUAACGCCAAAAACCUUAAACCUUACCCUAGCCCCAAAACCUAAUACCUUGGUAUUACCUUCAGGAAGCCCGAACACCCCAAAUAUUUUCUUUUCAUUUUUCGUUUUUUUUUUGGUCUAACUAACUCCAAAAGGUUGGAAAAUAGUUCCUUAAAAAAUAUUGGACAGUGAUUUUAACCCUAACGCCAAAAACCUUAAACUUUACUAUAGCCCCAUAACCUAAUACCCGGGUAUGACCUUCAGGAAGCUUGAACACCCCAAAUAUUUUCUUUUCAUUUUACAUUUUUUUUUGGUGUAACCUACUCCAAAAGGUCUGAAACAUGUUCCUAAAAAGGUUUUGGACAGUGAUUUUAACCCUAACACCAAAAACCUUAAACCUUACCCUAGCCCCAAAACCUAAUACCCGGGUAUUACCUUCAGCAAGCUUGAACACCCCAAAUAUUUUUUUUUAUUUUACAUUUUUUUUUUGGUGUUACCAACUCCAAAAGGUCUGAAACAUGUUCCUAAAAAGGUUUUGGACGGUGAUUUUAACCCUAACGCCAAAAACCUUAAACCUUACCCUAGCCCCAUAACCUAAUACCUGGGUAUUUCCUUCAGGAAGCCCGAAGACCCCAAUUAUAUUUUUUUCUUUUUUUUUUUUUUUGGUCUAACUAACUCCAAAAGGUUGGAAAAGAGUUCCUACAAAGGUUUUGGACAGUGAUUUUAACCCUAACACCAAAAACCUUAAACCUUACCCUAGCCCCAAAACCUAAUACCCGGGUAUUACCUUCAGGAAGCCCGAACACCCCAAAAAUUUUUUUUUCAUUUAUCUUAUUUUUUUUGUCUAACUAAUUCCCAAAGGUUGGAAAAGAGUUCCUACAAAGGUUUUGGACAGUGAUUUUUACCCUGACGCCGAAAAACCUUAAACCUUACCCUAGCUCCAUAACCUAAUACCCGGGUAUUACCUUCAGGAAGCCCGAACACCCCAAAUAUAUAUUUUUUAUUUUUCUUUUUGUUUUGGUCUAACUUGCUCUCAAAGGUUGGAAAAGAGUUCCUACAAAGGUUUUGGACAUUGAUUUUAACCCUAACGCCAAAAACCUAAAACAUUACCCUAGCCAAGAAACCUAGUAUUACCUUCAGGAAGCUUGAACACCCCAAAUAUUUUUUUAUCAUUUUACAUUUUUUUUGGUGUAACCAACUCUAAAAGGUCUUAAACAUGUUCCUAAAAAGGUUUUGGACAGUGAUUUUAACCCUUACGCCAAAAACCUUAAACCCUUCCCUAGCCCCAUAACCUAAUACCUUGGUAUUACCUUCAGGAAGCCCGAACACCCCAAAUAUUUUUUUUUCAUUUUUUUUUUUUUUUUUGUCUAACUAACUCCAAAAGGUCUGAAACAUGUUCCUUAAAAAAUAUUGGACAGUGAUUUUAACCCUUACGCCAAAAACCUUAAACCUUACCCUAGCCCCAAAACCUAAUACCCGGGUAUUUCCUUCAGGAAGCCCGAACACCCCAAAUAUUUUUUUUUCAUUUUACAUUUUUUUUUGGUGUUACCAACUCCAAAAGGUCUGAAACAUGUUCCUAAAAAGGUUUUGGACAGUGAUUUUAACCCUAACGCCAAAAACCUUAAACCUUACCCUAGCCCCAUAACCUAAUACCUGGGUAUUUCCUUCAGGAAGCCCGGAGACCCCAAAUAUAUUUUUUUCUUUUUUUUUUUUUUUUGGUCUAACUAAAUCCAAAAGGUCUGAAAAGAGUUCCUACAAAGGUUUUGGACGGUGAUUUUAACACUAACGCCAAAAACCUUAAACCUAAUCCUAGCCCCAAAACCUAAUACCCGGGUAUUACCUUCAGGAAGCCCGAACACCCCAAAUAUUUUUUUUUUCAUUUUACAUUUUUUUUGUCUAACUAACUCCCAAAGGUCUGAAAGAUGUUCCUUAAAAAAUAUUGGACAGUGAUUUUAACCCUUACGCCAAAAACCUUAAACCUAACCCUAGCCCCA